rnacentral:rRNA from 1 species
UACGGGGGGAGCAAGCGUUGUUCGGAUUUACUGGGCGUAAAGGGCGCGUAGGCGGCGUGACCAGUCACUUGUGAAAUCUCCGGGCUUAACUCGGAACGGUCAAGUGAUACUGUCGUGCUAGAGUACAGAAGGGGCAACUGGAAUUCUCGGUGUAGCGGUGAAAUGCGUAGAUAUCGAGAGGAACACCUGCGGCGAAGGCGGGUUGCUGGGCUGAUACUGACGCUGAUGCGCGAAAGCCAGGGGAGCGAACGGG